rnacentral:rRNA from 1 species
UACGGGAGGCAGCAGUGGGGAAUAUUGCACAAUGGGCGCAAGCCUGAUGCAGCCAUGCCGCGUGUAUGAAAAAGGCCUUCGGGUUGUAAAGUACUUUCAGUCGUGAGGAAGGUGUUAAGGUUAAUAACCUUAGCAAUUGACGUUAGCGACAGAAGAAGCACCGGCUAACUCCGUGCCAGCAGCCGCGGUAAUACGGAGGGUGCGAGCGUUAAUCGGAAUUACUGGGCGUAAAGGGCACGCAGGCGGUUAAUUAAGUUGGAUGUGAAAUCCCCGGGCUUAACCUGGGAAUGGCAUUCAAGCUGGUUAGCUAGAGUCUUGUAGAGGGGGUAGAAUUCCAUGUGUAGCGGUGAAAUGCGUAGAGAUGUGGAGGAUACCGGUGGCGAAGGCGGCCCCUGGACAAAGACUGACGCUCAUGUGCGAAAGCGUGGGGAGCAAACGAGGAUUUAGAUACC